GUUCUCGUAGUGUAGUGGUUAUCACGUGUGCUUCACACGCACAAGGUCCCCGGUUCGAACCCGGGCGGGAACA
rnacentral:tRNA from 1 species